rnacentral:rRNA from 1 species
GACGAACGCUGGCGGCGUGCUUAACACAUGCAAGUCGAACGGAAAGGCCCCUUUGGGGGUACUCGAGUGGCGAACGGGUGAGUAACACGUGAGUAACCUUCCCUUUACUUCGGGAUAACUUCAGGAAACUGGGGCUAAUACCGGAUAGGAAUCCUUGCUGCAUGGUGGGGGUUGGAAAGCUUCGGCGGUUUUGGAUGGACUCGCGGCUUAUCGGCUUGUUGGUGGGGUAGUGGCUUACCAAGGCUUUGACGGGUAGCCGGCCUGAGAGGGCGACCGGCCACAUUGGGACUGAGAUACGGCCCAGACGCCUACGGGAGGCAGCAGUGGGGAAUAUUGCACAAUGGGCGGAAGCCUGAUGCAGCAACGCCGCGGGCGGGAUGACGGCCUUCGGGUUGUAAACCGCUUUCAGCAGGGGCGAAGCUUGUGGUGACGGUACCUGCAGAAGAAGCACCGGCUAACUACGUG